GGNAAGNANCGCGNANAUAUAAGUNAUCGUUUAUUUGAUAGCACAUUNACCUACGUGGAUAACCGGGGUAUUUCUAGAGAAUACGUGCAAAAAAUCCCGACCUGAGAGGGGAUGUUUUUAUUAUAUUAAAACCCAGCCCCUUUCGGGGCUUCUUGGUGAUUCAUGAAAACUUGUCAAAUCACAGGGCCUUGCGCCGGCGAUGGUUCAUUCAUUUUUCCUCCCUAUCAACUUUCGAUGCGAAGGUCGUGUCUUCGCGGGGUUGCAACGGGNUGGANAGACGNUCANACANUAGGAAGGGGGUUAUANAUUAUUACUCCGACUAACAUUCCAAGGCACAGCAGUGGUGCAAAUGAGUUUUCCACAGCAACCCCAAAUCCCCAGGAGCUGUUGAUCCUUUANGUAUCUUUCCACAGCCAGGAUUCUUGCCUGGAGCUGCUUGAUGCCCCAGACUGUGAGUUGCAACAGAUGCUGUUGCGCCUCAAUACCCCUCANCAAAUUGUUCUGCUGCUGCACUAUACCAGACAAUAAUUGUCUGGCCUGUACCGUCAACNUCAUUGACGCUGCGCCCAUANUGCUUCCUGCUGCUCCCAAACCCAANGAACAAAGCUCCUAUUCCCACUGCUCUUUUUUCUCUCUGCACCACUCUUCUCUUUGCCUUGGUGGGUGCUACUCCUAAUGGUUCAAUUUUUACNACUUUAUANUUUAUAUAAUUCACUUCUCCAAUUGUCCCUCANAUCUCCUCCUCCAUCUGAAUCANCNGNCGGCCGCUNGCNGNUGCNGUGGUCUUANUUUUGUUUUACCUCCCNCNAUCUUGUCUAAAGCUUCCNUUGGUGUCCUUUAUCUCCUAUCCNUUUGA
rnacentral:rRNA from 1 species